UACGGAGGGUGCGAGCGUUGUCCGGAAUCACUGGGCGUAAAGGGCGCGUAGGCGGCCUGAUAAGUAGGGGGUGAAAUCCUGCGGCUUAACCGCAGGGCUGCCUUCUAAACUGUCAGGCUCGAGCACAGUAGAGGCAGGUGGAAUUCCCGGUGUAGCGGUGGAAUGCGUAGAGAUCGGGAGGAAGACCGGUGGCGAAGGCGGCCUGCUGGGCAGGUUCUGACACUGAUGCGCGACAGCGUGGGGAGCAAACAGG
rnacentral:rRNA from 1 species